rnacentral:rRNA from 1 species
GACGAACGCUGGCGGCGUGCCUAAUACAUGCAAGUCGAACGAGAGCGACCGGUGCUUGCACUGGUCAAUCUAGUGGCGAACGGGUGAGUAACACGUGGGUAACCUGCCCAUCAGAGGGGGAUAACAUCCGGAAACGGAUGCUAAAACCGCAUAGGUCUUCGAGCCGCAUGGCUUGAAGAGGAAAAGAGGCGCAAGCUUCUGCUGAUGGAUGGACCCGCGGUGCAUUAGCUAGUUGGUGAGGUAACGGCUCACCAAGGCCGUGAUGCAUAGCCGACCUGAGAGGGUGAUCGGCCACAUUGGGACUGAGACACGGCCCAAACUCCUACGGGAGGCAGCAGUAGGGAAUCUUCCGCAAUGGACGCAAGUCUAACGGAGCAACGCCGCGUGAGUGAAGAAGGUCUUCGGAUCGUAAAACUCUGUUGUUAGAGAAGAACAAGUGCUAGAGUAACUGUUAGCGCCUUGACGGUAUCUAACCAGAAAGCCACGGCUAACUACGUG